GAUGAACGCUGGCGGCGUGCCUAAUACAUGCAAGUCGAGCGAACAGACGAUGAUCUUGCUCCUCUGACGUUAGCGGCGGACGUGUGAGUAACACGUGGAUAACCUACCUAUAAUACUGGUAUCACUUCGGGAAACCGGAGCUUAUACCGUAUAAUAUAUUGCACCGCGUGGGUCAAUAGUGAAAUACGGUUUUUCUGGCACUUAUAGAUGGAUCUGCGCCGCAUUAGAUAGUUGGUGAGUUAACGGCGUACCAAGGCAACGAUGCGUAGACGACCUGAGAGGGUGAUAGGCCACACUGGAGCGGAGACACGGUCAAGACUACUAAGGGAGGCAGCAGUAGCGAAUCGUCCGCAAUGGGCGAAAGCCUGACGGAACAACGGCGAGUGAGAGAUGAAGGUCUUCGGAUCGUAAAACUCUGUUAUUAGGGAAGAACAAAUGUGUAAGUAAAUAUGCACGUAUUGACGGUAACUAAUAAGAAAGCCCCGGCUAACUACGUG
rnacentral:rRNA from 1 species